AUCUAUCUAUCUACAUCUCUACCUACCAACCAACCAACCUUCCUGCUCAAUAUUGAACCAAUCUCUAUGAGAAUAAACAUCACCAUCUAGCUACCCACCUAGCUAUCAAUGCUAGUUUACUAGCUGACUACCUGACUACCUGCCUAUCUAUCUUCUGACCUACUGGAAUGAACGAUAUCUAGCAACAAUAUCUAGCGAUGAUAUCUAGCGAUGUGACUUCGCGCUUUCGCUCCGUUCUGCCCAGCUGCAUGUUUCAUGAAGCUCCUGCUAUAAAGUGUUGUGCCUGAGCUGUCCAACCCUUCGAAGCAUUAAUGAUGUCUUUCAUCCCCUGGGAUUUAGAGGAAUAUUAGCAAGGAGUACAAUAAAAAGUAGAUAGUAGUUAAUCACCAAGAGAAGAAAGAGAAGAGAAAGAAGAUGUAAGUAGAUGUGAGAAUAUAUAUAUCUAUAUAUAUAUAGAAAUAAUUGCAGUGAGAACAUAAUAAGGGAAGAAUAAACAAAGUAUAUAAGGAAA
rnacentral:sRNA from 1 species